CACUCUUGCUUCCCACGUAGUUCGACAGGAAAAACAUUCCUGAAAAACUAAGGCUUAAAGCUUAAGAACACACACACAGCUGCUACAGGCAGCUCAGGCUUGUUUGCUGAGCUAAGUUAGCUCCUACUGUCUCAGCUGCAACAUGUUACAUUUCAAAGCACAAAAUAAACAAACAAACCAAUAAACACAAAUCCCAACAAAUCAUGAAAUUGUAUCUUGAUGGAAACAAUGUCCGACACCAUCCAACCUCCACUUAUUACAACAGAAAUAAACACAAUAGGAUUUUAAUACAAAGAUGAACCAUAUUAUCAGUCUUCCAGUGCUGACAUUAAACCAAGAGCAUGUCAUUUUUUAAUAUAACUGCUGUUGAUCUGGAUGCUGGCAGUUCUCUAAAUGUUGUCAAAAUGUUCUGAGUUGGAUUUUGUUGCUGACGUUGUUCGUGAGUCUUGAGUUUUGUUGAAAUAAUCUUUUUAUGGACCUGAAACAAAAUCAGAACAAAUACGACUUCAAAAGUGAAAAACAAAGAAAUAAUGGUGCCAAAGAUGUGAUGAUGCUUUCUGACCUUUUACACUUUCACUCUUUAAUCACACAGAACUGAUCUCAUCAGGGAAACUUACACUUUCUCACAUUUUAGCUGCAUGUGUUUGAAAUCUAAAAGGCUCAUUAUUUUAUUCAGACACCACAACAGCAACAGAACGUAACAAAAGUAAAUCAUAUAAAAAGUGAUUCAGCUCAUCAGCUCCACAAAACUCUGAAAGUUUAACAAGGAUGUAACACAUUUUACUGCACAUGCAUGCAUGUCACUGUGAUGAAUAAAGCGAAGUUUAAUAAAUGAAAUGUAUCUUUUCUGUUGAUGAUGAUUAAAAAUAAUUACUCUCAACCUAAUGUGGCAAAACAGAAGAUAUCAAAGUGAUUUCCUUUUUCAUACACCUGCUUCAAUAUGUGUAUUGUAUUCAUGGUGUGAUUUUAAGGUGUAAUAAUGUGUUUUAAGACUCUUGCUGCACUGUUUUCUUUUAGGUCUCAUGGCAGAGGACCCAACAGCGACAUAUUAUCGACUGAAAAACAGCUCAGUGUGUCUGAAUGUCAGGAAACCGCCACCAUAUAAACGUGGUGAAUGGAAAUUUAACACAAUAAUUAUUGCUGAUGAUACAGAAAUCAAUCCAAUAUACAAAGACAGAGUGGUUUAUAGUGCUGGAAACCUCUCCUUGUGUAUUAAUAACCUGGCUGAUACAGACACUGGCAUAUAUGAAGUCUCAUACCGCCAAAACUUUAUUACAAUGUCAGAGAAACAUCAAGUCAUUGUUCAAGAUGUGGUUCCCACACCUGUCAUUAUAAUGUCAAAGCUUGGCUCCAACCAGUCUGCUGGACUCUGCAGUAUCACAGUAAACUGCUCCAUCCAGGAUUAUUGGCUUUGGUCUGUUUGUGAUGAAGACGGCUGCAGAACAUCCCAGUGUUAGGGGAAUUUAAACGGGUGGAUUUAGUGGCAGAAACACACACGGCCACAGGAUAGCGGUGAAGCAGAUUUAUUUACAGCGAUAGGGGAAUAUUUACAAGGGAAGGGGCUAUACAGUGGCCAGGAAAAUGUGCGAGGAGACAGAGCCGAGGGGAUGAAAUGGAGCCGAGGUAUGCUGGAGGAUAGAUGGCGCACCGGAGCUACUUGAAACACCGAAAUACAGGUAUGACAGUGGUCACAAGCCGGCGCGAGG
ensembl:lncRNA